rnacentral:rRNA from 1 species
AUUGAACGCUGGCGGCAGGCCUAACACAUGCAAGUCGAGCGGAUGACGGGAGCUUGCUCCUUGAUUCAGCGGCGGACGGGUGAGUAAUGCCUAGGAAUCUGCCUGGUAGUGGGGGACAACGUUUCGAAAGGAACGCUAAUACCGCAUACGUCCUACGGGAAAAAGCAGGGGACCUUCGGGCCUUGCGCUAUCAGAUGAGCCUAGGUCGGAUUAGCUUGUUGGUGAGGUAAUGGCUCACCAAGGCGACGAUCCGUAACUGGUCUGAGAGGAGGAUCAGUCACACUGGAACUGAGACACGGUCCAGACUCCUACGGGAGGCAGCAGUGGGGAAUAUUGGACAAUGGGCGAAAGCCUGAUCCAGCCAUGCCGCGUGUGUGAAGAAGGUCUUCGGAUUGUAAAGCACUUUAAGUUGGGAGGAAGGGUUGUAGAUUAAUACUCUGCAAUUUUGACGUUACCGACAGAAUAAGCACCGGCUAACUCUGUGCCAGCCGCCGCAGUAAUAC